UUCACGCAAUAGUGAUUUUACCGUUCUAUCCCUAUUUUGUGCUUUGUUUUCAUUUUUGUCUUAUUCUUAAUAAUAGUGCACGGACCAUAACACCCUCAAGUCAUUUUUACACUGUCGUGCUUCUCCUUUGCUUCUCCCUUAUCCGGUUAUCCCUGAUUACUGUCUUUGCGUGAAUAUCUGUCUGAGAUUUUCCUCCCUUCUCCAUCACUCCAUGAGAGCUCUCUUCUAUCCUACGUCCCCUUGACUUUCAUCUCCCCUUUCAAUGUUCUCCGAUCAUCAUCAAAACGUCGUCGGCAACCUGGGUCUCGCGUCUGAAAAUAUCACAAAAUCGAUUAGAUUUCAGGCUGGGGCUUGAUAAUUCCCGGCAACAAUCCGGCAAGGCGGCAACUGGCGGUGGCAGUGCAAUAGCUAGAUUCUUCCGCUUCUUAGACGCAAGUCUAAUCUUUUGAAAUACCUUAUAAUAAUAUUUUCAUAUAUUUGACAUUUUGGGUUGAAUAAUAGAUUUUGUAAGUUGGAGUUUUUCGUUUAGUUUUACAGUUACAUCUAUGGUUUUUGGAAUAUAGAUGUAAAUGUAUUUGGGCGAUGGUUUUAACGUAAAGGGUUAUGUGAAAUCAAAAGGUUAUUUGGAUUGAAUUGGGGUUUUAUGGAUUUGAAUUGAAUUGGAGUUUUAUGAAUUUUGGUGAAUGCAGGAUAAAACUUUUACUUCCAUUUUGAAGACCCUCUGCUUUUGUUCUUCUUCUGAAGACUACAAGUAUAUCUCUAUAUUUUGAAUGAUAGUUCAAUUAUAAAUUGAUAGGUAAUAAAUUGCGAUGGUAUUCAAAAAGUUAUGAGCAUUAUUGUAUAUUGCACUUAUAUUGUGAAGUAUUUAGUAGGAGUUAUUAUGGAACAACAAAAUUUGGUUAAUAAUGCUACACGGAGUGAAGCCAGGAUUUAACAAUAGUUGGGGUUAAAUGUUCUUAAAUUCGUGUGCAAUAUGAAUCGGUUUAUUACAUCGAUUUGCUUACUUUGCUUUUGAUUGUUGUAAAUUUGUUAGGGUGAUACAAAAGGGUAUGCUAAGUAGUUUCUAUCCCUUUUUAUAUGAACAAAGAUAAAAUUCGGGAGGAUUUUGAGGAACUCUCUGAUUGCAAUUUAUCAACCUUCUUGGCAGAGUACCUAACCUCAGGAAGCUAAGUGGACAUGUUUACUCUAUGAAGAUUUCUUGAUGGUAAAUUCCGUGGGAAAACUGAUUGCACAAUGACGAUUUGUUGAAGCUACAAGCAAUUGCAGGCUUGGAAAGAAAAAUGAGCCCUUCACAUUGGAGAUUGUGUGAAGAGCUGGAAGUUGGAUUGAUUUUUAGAAUGGGUAUAAUACUAUGGACAUGGGUUGUAUGGAGUCUAUUUGGUGGGUCUUCUCUCAGCUGAAUUAGAAGAGGCUUGUUUAUCGCGGGUUUAAGGUUUGUGCUUGUUUUUAUUUUGAUGGUUUUCUUGGAGGGUUAAUGAUGUAGACGGGGUUUGAUGUUACGAACUAAUGUAUGUUGUUUUUGAUUGUUUUGUGAUGUGGGUUUUCAGGUUUUGGUUUGAAUGUCAGUGGGUGUUUUGAUGUGAGUGACUAACUUUAGUGUUAAACUAGGAGUACGUUUGAAGUUUUUUGUUCAAAGAGUUGGUAUAAGUUAUUGGUUUCCUUAUUUGUUUUUACUAUUAUUGUGGGUCAAUUGGCAUUUGGGUUAUGUUCGUUGAGUGCUAGCUGAAUUAGUGUGCUUUUUAUAUGGAAGGUUUUAAUUUGAAUAAGGAGAGUCCAAGAUUAAAAAUUAGAGAUUGUUUUUACUGAAAGGCAAAUUACACUGGAAAGAAAUUUCUGAUAGAAAGCCACAAUUAAAAGGGUUCGAUGUCUUUUAUUGGUUGUUUAUUGGGUUGAUGAGAUCAUGUCUGAUAUAUCUGCAUUACUAUGUCUAUAAAAAGGUGAUAUAUUUGCGGAUAUUUCUUAUUUUCAGCCAGUUGUGCGGUAGUUGUAUUAAUUAAUAAUUAUACUAUCUUAGGAUUUGGUAGACAUCUAUUAGUUCGGCAAAUUAAAGUCUUGCCUUCAAAAGUUCAUAUAUCUAGAGUCCAAUAGCAAAAUCAAGGUGAACAUCAAUCAUGUUGACAAUUUUUGUAAUCAACAGUUACAUAUUGGGAGUCAUGAUAGUACAUAUCAAUAUAAUUCCUGCUAACAUGAUCAGUAUUCAGUGGGAACCAAGACAUCAUCAAAAUUCGAUCUACAAAUAUAUAUAUAUAUAUAUUCUAACGUUUAUAUAUAUAUAUAUGCACAGUGUACAACUUAAAGAUAUAGACAAAAAUACAUAGAUGGAAAAACUGAAUAAAGAAAUGAAAGCGACAACAAAACUAAACAUCCUCUGUAUAUAUUAACAAUCUUUCUCAUAGUUCUUUGAUUUUUUUACCUUAUUGAUAUACGAGGUGUGAUGUGAAGAAGUUGUGGUAUAGUCAUAGAAAGAUCCGGUAUUGACAGUCAAAUUAUUUUGUUAUUUGUUAAGCACUCUUCGUUUAUGUUUAUGUUUAUGGUGCAUGACUUUAGUAUCAAAACUACCUUAUAGUGUUUUUUUAAAAGAGAAACACAUAACACUUGCGAUUUAUGUUCUUAGGAAAUACCCGUUGCCCCAUUUUGGCUCCCUUGUGGUUUAUGUGUUAGGGAUACAUAUAAAACCUACAUUAAGUAGGGAGUACUUAAGAUGUUUCUCAUUGUUUACUGUACUCAUACUUUGAGGAUUAUUAUGGCAUUCGUGUGAUUUGGCAAGACUUUGCAUGUAGGCCAAGAAGAUCUUGUGUUUCUGAUUACCUAUAAUUAGCUCAUUAGUACUUAUGAUUACAAGUCUUACGGUAGGUUUGGAGUUACAAUGCUUGAAAUACUUUUAAAAUGUUUAUACUUUAUAGACGAAAGCAGAGGGGACGUUUUGAUGUUUUAGGACGGGUUGUUCUUGACAAGCUUUGUAAUCUUGUUUCCCAAAGUAACGGUUUCAAACUUUAAAUGUAUCCUUUUUCUGUCACUUCAGAUCAACAAAUUUGUCCAUUUGGUUUAUCCCAUUGUCUUAUAUUGUUUCCUAUUACUCCAUUUGAUUUCGAUAAGUAUUGUUGCUUGGUAUUUUUGGAACAUGAUGCAGGGUUCCAGGAACACGGUUGAAAGUUGAAACUCCAACUUGGGUUGGUUAUGUCAAGCUAAUACUUUGUAUAACAUUUCAACAUUUCAUUUAUUUAGAUUUGCAGAGCAGCAACAUAAUAAUUUGUUUUUUUUAGGGGAACAUAUUAAUUUGUUUACAAAAACUGAUUACAUUCACUGUCACUGCUACCUAAACCGAAUGAUUUGGUCUGU